rnacentral:rRNA from 1 species
GAUGAACGCUAGCGAUAGGCUUAACACAUGCAAGUCGAGGGGCAGCAUGGUCUUAGCUUGCUAAGACUGAUGGCGACCGGCGCACGGGUGCGUAACGCGUAUGCAACUUGCCUCACAGAGGGGGAUAACCCGUCGAAAGACGGACUAAUACCGCGUACACUCUAUUUUGGGCAUCCAAGGUAGAGGAAAUGAACUUCGCUGUGAGAUAGGCAUGCGUCCCAUUAGCUAGUUGGUGAGGUAACGGCUCACCAAGGCGACGAUGGGUAGGGGAACUGAGAGGUUGAACCCCCACACUGGUACUGAGACACGGACCAGACUCCUACGGGAGGCAGCAGUGAGGAAUAUUGGUCAAUGGGCGAGAGCCUGAACCAGCCAAGUCGCGUGAAGGAUGACUGUCUUAUGGAUUGUAAACUUCUUUUGUAGGGGAAUAAAGAGGGGCACGUGUGCCCCAGUGAAUGUACCCUACGAAUAAGCAUCGGCUAACUCCGUG